rnacentral:hammerhead_ribozyme from 1 species
AUCCAUCUGACGAGUCCCAAAUAUAGGACGAAACGCUCCUUGUCCUGGAU